CGCUUAAAAAGGCGGGCGAAUAAGGGGAGGGCAAGUCGGGUGUCAGCCGCCGCGGUAAUACCCGCUCCCCGANAGGUGGAGGCUAUUACUGGGCUUAAAGCGNCNGUAGCCGGCCCGGUGUGUCCCUCGUUAAAUCCACGGGCUUAACCCGUGGGCUGCGNGGGAUACUACCGGGCUUGGGGGUGGGNGAGGCCGCCCGGUAUUCCCGGGGUAGGGGUAAAAUCCUCUGAUCCCGGGAGGACCAUCAGUGGCGAAGGCGGGGCGCCAGAACACGCCCGACGGUGAGGGGCGAAAGCUGGGGGAGCAAACGGGAUUAGAUACCCCGGUAGUCCCAGCUGUAAACGAUGCGGGCUAGCUGUCGGGGCGGCUACGGGCCGCCCCGGUGGCGAAGGGAAGCCAUUAAGCCCGCCGCCUGGGGAGUACGGCCGCAAGGCUGAAACUUAAAGGAAUUGGCGGGGGNGCAC
rnacentral:rRNA from 1 species